rnacentral:rRNA from 1 species
GCUCAGAGUAUAAGCCAAUGGAGCUUGGAAGGCUUCCGCAGAUGGUGUCCAUCAUACGUGGUGUUCUUAAGACCUUGAGUGUGGCUCGUGAAGCGAAGCAUUGAGUUUGCCGACCAGCUGUCGUGCGGGGGGUUCAGCUUGGGAGGGUUGGGUUUCGGUCCAACAGUUUUCCUUCUGUCCCCUUUUGAAUGGACGUUCAGAGCUCUUGUGUCUAAUGCGGUUAUGCCCACCACAGCACGUUGUGAGGUCACCCACAGGCUCAAACUGCCGAUCGCGCAUCCAGGACGAUGGCAACGAUGCGUUGUCGAUGAUGGCUCGAGAGAGACUUCACUCACACGCGUGUCUAGUCCUGGGUCGGGCGGCGACCGAGAUAAACCUGGUACGAUCCUCUUGCGACGAGCUGCUUUCUGGCCAGACCGACGCCCAGGCGCCUCCACUGUGCCGGAAGCGUCAACCCCAGGCGGUGUGAACCCAGCUGCAUUAUGCAAGGUCUCUCAGCCGGGCGUUGGUCUGAGUGGUGUUAAGUCCAGCACCAUCGGUCACGUCUCGAAACACGGGCCAAGGAGUAUAGCAUGUGUGCAAGUCUAAGGGUCUCACAAAACCCGAAGGCGAAGUGAAAGCAAGACUGUGGCGGGGGAGCUACGGCAAACCCGCCGGCCUAGUGGCGCGUGCGUCGCCUGGCUUUUAGCAGAGCUGAUCCUGUUUUCUCGGUUAAUUCUUGGUGCAGGCGCAAGCUCCGGGCUCACGUACAACACUGGUCACGCCUCGCG